UACGAAGGGGGCUAGCGUUGCUCGGAAUCACUGGGCGUAAAGCGCACGUAGGCGGAUCUUUAAGUCAGGGGUGAAAUCCUGGAGCUCAACUCCAGAACUGCCUUUGAUACUGGGGAUCUCGAGUCCGGGAGAGGUGAGUGGAACUCCGAGUGUAGAGGUGAAAUUCGUAGAUAUUAGGAAGAACACCAGUGGCGAAGGCGGCUUACUGGUCCGGCACUGACGCUGAGG
rnacentral:rRNA from 1 species